UGUCGCCCCUGCCCGACCCGGACUAGCCUGGGUGACAGGCGAGGCCGAAUCCCGCCCUCGGCCCCGCACCGUCGAGCCGUGGAGGCGGACUCCCCUCCCUCGGCUCGCUCCGCUCCGUCCAGGGGGGCUGCUCAGUGCGCCCCCUCCAGCAGCCGGGGACGGAGUCCCGACUCCCCCGCCCCGCCGCCGCCGCCGCCACGCGUCCCCCAGCCCCGUGCCUUCCCCGCCACACUCACGAGCCCGUGCCGCCGCCGCUGCCGCCGCUGCCGUCGACGCCGCGUCCCGGGGGCUGGCUUCCCCCCCGCCUGGGGUAGGGGUGAGAACCUCCCUCCGACCCCAGCCGGCGAGGCCGGGCUCCGGCGGGACACACGGGGGGAGGCGGCCCCGGCCAAGCCGCCGAACGGGCGAUCCGUCCGGGGGGGGGGGGGGGGGGAAGAGAGACGGGGUCGAGAGGGCGGGAGCAGGAACAGGAGCCGCCGCCUCCGCUGCCGCCGAAGCGGGUGCAGCAGCAGCAGCAGGAGGAGGAGAACGACGACGACGACGAGGAAUCCCAGGAAUGAGGGCGAGAGCAGAGCUGGCAGGCAACUCGCUCGCCCGCCCACUCUUGCCCGGCUUUCCCUCCUUCCCUUUUCCGCCCCGCCCCGCACAGGUAGAGACGAGGCUGGACGAGAAGGUGCGGGCGGGGAGGGGAGGAAGGAAGAGGAGGAGGGAAAGAGGAACAGCAGAGCCGCUCGGGCCUGCCCACCUCGGGUCUGGGAUGAGCUCCGGGGUGCGGCCCCCAACUACAGGAGAGCUUCAGGAGAACAUUCGGCCGCUUUCCAGACCUUCAACGGCGACCCGAACGAUCGAAGCAGCGUGAUGUGGUGGAUAGCGCGCGGGUUGGGGAGUCACAGGUCAUGGGUUCUAAUCCCGCCUCCGUCACUCGUCUGCUGCGUGACCUAGGGCAAGGCACUGCACGUCUCUGGACCUCGGUUCCCUCUUCUGUCAAAAGGAGGUUAAGACUGUGAGCCCCACGUGGGACAGGGACUGUGUCCCACCCGAUCGGCUUGGAUCCACCCCAGCGCUCAGCACAGUGCCUGACACGUAAUAACAAAUACCCUUAUUAUUAUCUCGAUAUAUGUUUUGGUCAUAAAAGCACAGCAAAUUAAGUAGCACUAUUUAAUAAUAAUGAUGAUGACGAUGGCAUUUGUUCAGUGCUGUUCUAAGCGCUGGGGUAGAUGCAAGGUAAUCUGUCGUCCCACGUGAGGCUCCUGGUCUUCAUCCCCAUUUUACAGAUGAGCGAACUGAGGCACAGAGAAGGAGAAGUGAAGUGACUCGCCCAAGGUCGCGCAGCAGACAAGUGGUGGAGCCGGGAUUAGAACCCCCGUCCUCUGACUCCCAGUCCUGUGCUCUUUCCACUAAGCUACACCGCUUCUCUAUUUGUGAACUUAUUUGGCAAAAGUGAAGAAAAUAUGGAUUACUAAUAAAAUAUUAUGAGUUGUAACAAUUAAUAUUAACCUGUAUACUGUGAGCCCCUUGUGAGACGGAGACUGUGUCUGACCUGAUUAUCUUGUAACUACCCUAGCACUUAAAACUGCUUGAUGGCACGUAGUAAGCGCUUAACGAAUACCGCAAUGAUUCAUUAUAAUUACACAUUUUGAAAAGACAAUUGUCCUCGCCAAAAGCCUUGCCUACAUUGAUCUUAUGCUCAUCUGAGUUCAGACACUUAAGCACAUCUAAAUUUAACUGUCUGACUUAAACUCUUACAAAGUUCACUGCUCGUGGCAGCUGAUCUCGGUUUCAUUUCUGCCUGUCAGUAUCCUCCUUUUCCCAAAGCUUCUGCUCCAAGAGCCACCCGAUUGCUGUAUGCCAGGCAAUGUGGCUUCCCAACAGAUUACUGGUCUUUUGCAUAAUUUGAAAUCUGCACUGAGGUCAUGAUGGACUGUA
rnacentral:lncRNA from 1 species